UACGUAGGGGGCAAGCGUUGUCCGGAGUCAUUGGGCGUAAAGAGCGUGUAGGCGGCCCGAUAAGUCCGCCGUGAAAGUCCAGGGCUCAACCCUGGAAUGCCGGUGGAAACUGUCGGGCUCGAGUCCGGAAGAGGCGAGUGGAAUUCCUGGUGUAGCGGUGAAAUGCGCAGAUAUCAGGAGGAACACCAAUGGCGAAGGCAGCUCGCUGGGACGGUACUGACGCUGAGACGCGAAAGCGUGGGGAGCAAACAGG
rnacentral:rRNA from 1 species